UGUUACAUCUUUUUUAUGUAUUCUCUUUUUUUAUUUAUCAAUUACAAUUGUGCAAUCUAUAUCAUAAAGCGGUUAAAAUUGUUUAAUCCAGCAAAAUUGAUAAACAGCGAUGCCAAAAUAGAAUGAAGGAUUUUAAACCUAUUUGAUUUUUUAAGUCUAAUUUAAUAGAAUUUUAAAAUAUUUUUUCUCAGUUGUAGGAUGAUCUUCAAAAUAUUUUUUCUCUUCAAUGAGUUAAAUGAAUAUCGAGAUCAAGCAAUUGAAAGAGUAGCCAAGGAGAGAUUCCACUAUGAGUUAAAUGAAUAUCGAGACAGAGAGAGGGUUCGCUGAAGAGAGAGAAGACCGCGACCAGUGGUGUUAGAUCUUCAACGGCGAGCGGCGCCGCUAAUGUCGAGAAGGCGUUAGCCGGAAGAAAGAAGGAAGAGGAGAGAGAGAGCUCGAUGGUGAUGGAAGCAUCUGCGCGGAAGAAGAAUGGCAGCGGUGAGUGAUGGCUGAGGUAGAACAAGCACGAUGAUGAUGGUGGUAAAGAGAGGCUCGACGGUGGUGGUGGAGUUGUUGCUGCCGCAGGAGCCACCGUUUGAGAGGCGGAGGUUGAAGUUGGGUUGGAGAUAAUGGUAUUUGAUGGCUAAUUUGUGUAGAGCAGUGGCAGGCAGCUUCAGAUAUGUUGCUACCAUGCUUCUUCUAAUAUGACCAAUUAAGUUCAAAAGUUAUGCAACCAAUAGAAGUAGAGAAAGCAACUACAUUCUGCAAACGUUGUUGUCAAAUACAGAUCAGCCACUACACUGUCUUUGUAUACUUUGGUUUGAUUGCAUGCAACUCAACAUCUAGCUGAACAUCACCGCCCACCAUGUUGUUUUACAUGGUAUUAUGUUUAAUUCUCUUAAAUCCGUGAGAAACAUGAGACAUGGUAACAUUAUAUUACAAGCUACUGCAUAAUAAGCAUUUGAUACUACUAGUUUUCAAGCAAAUAAAGUUCCUUGUGCGAUUGCUAACAAUAUACAUAAAUCAUGGAUAAAUUAUUGGAUUUGAACAUGAAAGGAAAAAACACAAAUUGACAAUGAAAUUGUUAAAUUAGAAUGAUACAAACUUAGCUGUUUAUGUUCUACAUCUCAUUCAUCAGUGAUUCUGCAAUCUUAGUGGCAAUACAAUAUGCUGUGGACUGAAUUGUUAUCAUGGGGUUGACACCAACAGCAUUGGGAAACACACUUGCAUCACACACAUACAACCCUUCUGCUUCCCAACUCUCACCAUUUUCAUCAAGUGCGCCGUCAUCUUUGGUGGCGCCCAUCCUACAACUUGCCAUCUGAUGUGCAGUAGUGAAAAGAGUCCAAAGUUCAUUCCUUGAGCUUGGACCACCAGCCACUGUGACUGUGUCCAGAAACUCCUCAAAAUCUUCCUCCUUGAUCCCUUUGCAUUUGAUUCUUUGGCCAUCGCUCCUGUAAGUGCCCACUUCUACAGCUCCGGCUGCAACCAAGAUCCUCAAGGCUUUCCUCAAUCCAAUUCUAAGGCUUUCUUUGUCCACUUGGUCAAGUCUGUAAGAAACUCUGCCUUCAGCCUUUACUUCUCCUGAACCCUGGUCUCUUAUCAAAGCAAAAAGGUGCGCAGUUCUUGCAUACUUUGCCAACCUGUCUUUUGCAUCGAGCCCUGAGACCCAAGGAACCAAUGCUGAAAAUGAUCCGGGUCCUAGAGCAGGUGCUUCUAUAAUGAAUUUUGGGGUGGAAUCCUCUGCAAAUUCUUUGUGGAUUGAAGUUAUGAUUCCUCCCUCAUAGUUAGUUCCACUGAAAUUUGUCAUGUCUUCCGGGAAGUACCCCCAGGCGAAUUGGACUGGGUGUAGUCGGAGGUUCUUCCCAAUGUAUGGAUUUUGCAGGCCACUUGAAAUCAAUAGAGGAGGUGUGGAGAGAGAGCCACAUGAUGAAAUAGAUACCUUGGAUUCAAUUCGGAGCUUCUUUGAGACCUUACUCCUCCAAGUGGCUGCAGCAAUUACUCCUCUGCAUUUCUUUUUCUUCAGUCCAUUCUUUCCAUCUUCCAAUAUGAACUUCUCGGCUUUACAUCCAGCGAGGAUCACUGCUCCGUUCGCAACAGCAUCAACCAACCAAGUAGAGUCAGUGCCCUUCUUAUCUCCAGUUCUACAACCAUAGCAGCAUGAGCCACAAUAAUGAUCUGCUGAAGCGUUUGUUGCAACUGACUCAACUUUUAAGUCAACUUUCUUGCAUCCUUCUCGGAGAAUUUGAUUUUGAAAGCUUUCUUUUGCGCAUUGUGGUGUCACCCCAAUCCUUUUGCAUACCGCAUCCAUUGCAGAUUGAUAAUUAGAGCUUCCAAAAAGUGGGAUUUUAUAUUUUUCAGACCAUUCCUUCAGAACAGGAUCAGGUGUUCUGAUGCAUGCAGACCAGUUUAUAGCUGAGCCUCCACCAACUGUUGAACCAGCCAAGAUCAUCAUCUUCCCGUCGACACUUGACAUGAUUCCACCUGAUUCAUAAAGCUCAUUCGUGGACGGACCUUCAAAGGAAGAAUAAUCUUCGGAAACAAAAUACUCUCCUUUCUCUAGGACAACCACUUUCAGACCCGAGUUUGCGAGAAUUGCAGCCGCAACUCCUCCACCACAGCCAGAGCCAACAAUGACAACAUCACAUUUGAUGUUGUAUGAAUUGUGCUCUAGAUCUUCAGUGACUUCAAGGCCCUUUUCAGUGAGAGACUGGAUUAAAGUAGAAUCAUUUUCAUACAUAGUCUCUACUAUCCCCUUCUGUAGAGGCCUCUCCUUAUGUGUUAACUUCUGUCUGGUGUCCACUUUGUACCCCAUUGCUUCCCAUGCAGGAUUAUGCCCGCUUCCAUCAGUCUGCAGCAAUUGGAGAAAAGUAGCAAAGUUAAACAAAAGGGAACAAAAAUAAUUAGUUACUUAGCUAGCAAGAAAAGGGAUUAACAAGACAAUUAUGAGACAUGCAGCUUUUCAGUAUGCCUCUCAGUCAAAUAAUCAAAUAUGUGACUGAAAUCUCAGAGAAGAAGAAAACCAUUAUUACCCUUGUGAAGAAAUUGUAGAAGGAAACAAGUUUGAUGAACACAAACACUAUCCUUAGAGGUGUCCAAUGGUUCUCCCUUGACCAUUUCUUGAGAAUUUCUUCUCUUUUGUUCAAUGGAAUCUCAGAGAAUUUGUGGAUGAAAAGCCACUUCCAUUCCAAGCAAUCCUUUCCACAAAGCAACAGUGUUCCAAACCUGAAUGAAAGAAUCCGCAGAACCCAGCUAACUAAGGACCAUGCUUCUGGUUUUGUUCCUUGUUUAAUGGGAGAGAAGGCAAUAGGGCCUCACAGAAGGAAGCCAUAACUUGCAUCUGAGAGGAAGAUAGGCCAUGGCUGUAACCUUUCUCUCUUCUGUUACCUCCUCUCAGAAGAGGAGAAAGAUCAAGACAGUGAGGUUGAGGAAUGAAUUUGGAACAAAACAACGCUUGGUGUCAUUUUCAAUUAUGGGUAUGCCAAUCAAGAUUGCAAUAAAUUUCAACAAGUCUUGUGUCUUUUAAUAUUUAAUUAUAGAAUCAUGCAUAUAUCUAUAUACUCUAUUUUGUUACAAGCUACAAAGUCCAUCCUCAAUUCCUCAUCCACCACAUAAUAAUAAUGUUCUAAACAAUUUUUCAAACAUGUGAUCCGCAUAAUUUAUAACAAUAAAAAUAAUGGUGGUUGUUUGGUUUUAUUGAUAUUUGAUUAUUUUCAGACAAUCUAUGGCUAAGGCCUAAGAUAUGUCCCGAGUUGAGGUUUUGGAAGAAAUAUUGAUAUAUAUAUAUAUAUAUAUAUAUAUAUAUAUUUAUUUUCUAACAGAUUUUUGUUAAGGUUAUUUAUAUUUUUUUCUAAUUUUUUAAUACAAACUUUCUAUUAUGCAUUCUAAUGACAUAUGCUAGCUAAAUUUUUAUGUAAAUAGUAAAAAAUUUGAAUUUAUAACUAAUCUUAGAACUUCUCUUUUUUCGUUCCCUUAACUUGUGCUUUUGUUAGAGUCUUAGAGCACUUUCUAUUCCUAUAAUAAGUUACUUUAUUCAUUGGACCAGUUAUAUUCCGUGGCAUUUAAGACUCCUUCAUAGUUAUUUCAUUAUUUGAGUGGCAUUUAAGACUCCUUUAUAGUUAUUUCAUUAUUUGAGAGACGAAAGACCAAACCAUAAAUAACUUAAGAGGAGGGACGAAAGAAAUUAAAUGUCAUAUUACAGGGCAAAGGUGUAAUGAAUUUUCUACAAGUUAAAGUACACUAAGUUUAACAUCGGUUUUGGCAUUAGAAAAAGAAAAAUAUUGUAUGAUACCAAAAAUCAAAUACCAAAUUAAGUAUUAUAUAUUUUUAUAUAUGUGUAUUGUUUUACAUAUUUUUAAUGUAUGUUUUGUAUUUCAACAUA